rnacentral:lncRNA from 10 species
GAGCGAGAAGGGUGGCAGAGGAGGCGCGGAGCGGGCGGCGGCGGCGGCGGCCCGAGGAAGAGGAGGAGGAAGAGCAGGCGGAGACGCGGCGCCCGGAGCCGGCCGGACCGAGCCGGGGGCGGGCGAGGAGGGGCGCGGCGGCCGCGGCGGAAGGGGGGGCGCUCUGCGGAUGGCCAGGCCCGGCCCGCGGGGGGGGUGAGGUCCUCGGCCCUCCCGCCCUCCCCCCCGGUCCCCGCCCGCCCCCUCCCCGGGCCCGCUCGCCCUCCGGGGCGGUGGGGCAUGGCCUGAGGGUCCCCGUCUCCGGGGGGGUGGGGGGUGGGGGGAGGGGGGAGGGGCCGCGGGCGCCGCCGACCGGGACUCAGCAGCCCCGCCAGGCACCGCCUGUGAUGCUGCCGUCCCCCGUCGCCCCGUGGCCCCACAAU